AAAUUUUGGUGUGAUAAGAUUAAUGUUGGUGAAAUCUGGACCAUUUAUUUUCUAAUCUCAUAUCUACCAUUCAUUUCAAAGAACCCUAAGAGAUCACAUUUUUCUAUUCCAGUUCUCUACCAUCACCACUCUCCAUUUUUUUUUCUUCUUUCCUUCCUCUUUUUUCUUUCCCCGUUCUCUCUCCAUACCCAUGCGCAUCACCCAUCUCAACAAUAUCGCAACUAUCAGUCGUCACCGGCGAUGACGCUACCGAUCGACGUUGUUUUUCUCUUUCUCUCACUUUCCCAUCUUCACCAUGGUGUGUUCGGGUAUGCCAUGGUGUGUUCGUCGACCCAGAACCGAAGCAUGAAGGCUUACUCCCUCCUUAAGAAGUAAGGAUUUGACGUGUCAUCCUACGGGAUGGGGGUGUACGUCAAGCUCCCUGGACUUUUUUUUUUCCAUCUUUGAGAAUUAUAGGUAAGGAAAGACUCAUGUUCUUGUUAUUUCUUUCUUUCUUUCUCUCUCUCGUCUUUUUUUGAGGACACAAGCUUCAAUUUUAACCCAUUUUUUUCAGGUAGAUUUUCUGGGUUUUUGAUGUUUGUGAUCAUUUGGGUGUCUGAUCAGUUCAAUCCCAAUUGGGGUUUUGGUUUCUUGUGCUUUGACUUUGUUGCAGUGACGAAUUGGGUUGGGUUUUUGGUUUAAUCUCUCUAUGGUGUCUGCGUUUUUUUUUUUCAUUUUUUGGAUCGGAUUAUCAGUUUGUGUUUUUCUUUAAUCUGAAUGGGUUUUAAGUUUCACUGUUGUCUCUUCUAAUCUAUCUUCUCUUUGCAAAUAUGUUGUUCAUUCCUUCUGGUGUUAUACUUUAUUUGCUAUUGAAGCUAUUAGGCUUUUCGAUUUUGUUUUUGUUUAACAUUUUUUAAUAUAAUCACAUGAAAGUUUAGAUUUUUGGGUGAUAUUUCUCUGUUUCAGAAUUUGUUAAAGGUAUUACAACAAGGAAUACAGAAUUUUCUGAUGUUACUUUUUCAUGGAUAGUGGGAAAAAUAGAGGAAAAGAAAAGAAAAGAAAAUUUUGAAUCACAAGUUUUACACUGUCUUAAUUUUGAAAAAAAUGGAAAAAUAAAAACCCACCUUAGUAGAAUCAAAUAGUCAAUUAGGUGUAGUUGAGUGGAAAUAAUUGCUUUCUAAAGUCCCAAAUGAUGAGAAAUCUUGGAUUCAAAACUUAUUCUUAUCUUUUCCCGUAUUUUCAAGGAACCAAACACGAGCACCAAUAGUUGAUCUGAAUCUAUUGAUAUGAUUAUUAAAUUACAUCUUGGAGAGCAUUGGAAUCAAUAUUAAGAGUGUCGUAACAUGAAUUUUGUGGGGGCUGCAUUGAUGUUAGAUGUAACAUUUUACUACUUGAUCAUGCUUACGUUGAUUUCUGAACUCAUUCAAUUUCAUUUGUUGUAGGUAUUGAGGCAUUUGGUUCCAAUUUGAUGCUAUAGUUUGUUGGUUUCAUCUCAAUUGUUGGUACAUGUUCAAUGAUCUCUACCGCAAAGACCCCAACCUGUAUCAUCUUUCUUCCAUUUCUAGGUUUUUCCCGUUUGUUUCCCAAGAAAAAAACAUUAGCGAGGGAAAUAAAAAGAAUUAUUUAUUUAUUUAUUUAUUUUAACCAAAUGGGUUGUGUGGUGGUUCUUUAAAGGCGGUUGAAAGAUAUUUGGAUCAUGACUAUGAUAUUUUUUAAAAAAAAUUAUUUGCUUACAUUUUCUCACUAUCCAAACGAGAAGUUUUAUAGAUGUUUGAUGCAUUGCUUUGUUUGUUUUUUUGUUUGGUUAAUUUUUGCAUUUUUGUGAAAGACUACCUAAUGUGGACCAUGUUAAAGGUUGUGGACAAUGUAAAUUUGCCUUGUCCUCUGUUUGAUAGUCAAGAAGACGAGGGAAAAAUUGUUUCGAAUGGUUUCUUUUGGUUUUCUUUUUUGGUCUCCACCAAAGGGGGAAAUUGAAAACUUGCAAUUAGACUAGAUAAUUGUGUUAAGCUUAAUUGAAAGUGAUGUGAAACCUAAAACAAAUCAUUCUGUUAGGCUAUGAAUCUAAAACUCAAAAUUUAGCAUUUGUUCUUACUGACCGAACAAAGCAUUUGAGUAUUUGUUUUAUAUUGAAAUUUGUGUAAAGUUCCUGAAUAGAAUCUUAAACUCCUUUGGUUGACAAAAUAUGGUUGUAUUGAGGUCUGUUGUUAAUGUUCAUAUUGGAGACUAGGACAAACCAGAAACUAAAGGAAGCUCUUAAUUCUUGUAUAGAAAUCAAUACUAUUUUUUUUUUUUAAAUUCUUGCUGAUGAUUAUUUGAUUUGCUUGGAACCUUAAAGCAAAAUGAAACCUUAAUGACAACACAUCUACAAGCAUAAUGGCAUCCUACCAAUGCUUAAAAGGAAUUCAUCAAUCAAAACCACACCUCAACGCUAGCAAGAUAAUGUUGCCGAUGGGCCAUUCGAUGUGGUAUUCACAUUUGAAGAAAAGGUUUUUGAUAUGAUUGUUGAAGGUUAAUGUUUGCAUUUUUGUUUUGUUUCUAACGCAUCAUAUAUUAUAGAUAGGUUAUUGAGCAAUCUUAAAAAUAUUUGAUUGUAGUUAGAUAUUUAAUUUCUCAAUUUGAGCUUUUCAUUUUCUUAACAUCGUUUGUUUUUUCUAUCAUAGGUUUGAGAUAGAGGUAUUAGCAAUUUUAGGGUCUUUCUAGAGGGUGGUGCUUGAAGAUUAAUGCUAGAGAUAUGGUAUUCAAGAAAUAUAGCAAAAAAGAAGAAGAUGAUGAAGAAUUAAUGACCACCUCUUACGAAGAUAGUAUUGUACUUUUCAAUUUAAGUUUGUAUAUUAUCUUAAUUGAAUAUUUGUAAUUAGUUUUUCUUUUUGUAUAUAGAAAAUAGAGAGUAAGUAGAAAAAGAUUUAUUCCAUUAUGUUUUUAGUAUUCAAAUGUAUCUAUAAUAAUUUUUUCCCUUGAGUAAUAAUUUAUUUACAUUGUUUUA